rnacentral:rRNA from 1 species
AGAGUUUGAUCAUGGCUCAGGAUUAACGCUGGCGGCGUGCCUAAUGCAUGCAAGUCGAACGUGGUCCCUUCGGGGGCAAACGUGGCGGACUGGUGAGGAACACGUGGGGAACCUGCCCAUUGGUGGGGGGUAGCCCGCGGAAACGCGGGGUAAUUCCGCAUACGCUGGCCUGGGGGUAGCCCGGGUCAGGAAAGGGUCUUCGGACUCGCCGAUGGAGGGGCCUGCGUCCGAUUAGCUAGUUGGUGGGGUAAUGGCCUACCAAGGCGGUGAUCGGUAGCUGGUCUGAGAGGACGGCCAGCCACAGGGGGACUGAGACACGGCCCCCACUCCUACGGGAGGCAGCAGCAAGGAGUUUUCCGCAAUGGGCGCAAGCCUGACGGAGCAACGCCGCGUGGGGGAUGACACCUUUCGGGGCGUAAACCCCUUUUCUUGGGGACGAAGCAGUGACGGUACCCGAGGAAGAAGGCCCGGCUAACUACGUGCCAGCAGCCGCGGUAAUAC